AUGUGUGGAUGCUUUUAUUGAAGUGGGGAAAGAAUUUGGUGUCAUUAACUAAGUGUCCUUUUUUUUUUUUUUUUAAUUUUUAAAAAAAAAAAAAAAAAAAAAAAAA
rnacentral:ribozyme from 1 species